ACACAUGCAAGUCGAACGAGAUCUUCGGAUCUAGUGGCGCACGGGUGCGUAACGCGUGGGAAUCUGCCCUUGGGUACGGAAUAACUCAGAGAAAUUUGUGCUAAUACCGUAUAAUGUCUUCGGACCAAAGAUUUAUCGCCCAAGGAUGAGCCCGCGUAGGAUUAGCUAGUUGGUGAGGUAAAAGCUCACCAAGGCGACGAUCCUUAGCUGGUCUGAGAGGAUGAUCAGCCACACUGGGACUGAGACACGGCCCAGACUCCUACGGGAGGCAGCAGUGGGGAAUAUUGGACAAUGGGCGAAAGCCUGAUCCAGCAAUGCCGCGUGAGUGAUGAAGGCCCUAGGGUUGUAAAGCUCUUUUACCCGGGAUGAUAAUGACAGUACCGGGAGAAUAAGCUCCGGCUAACUUCGUGCCAGCAGCCGCGGUAAUACGAGGGGAGCUAGCGUUGUUCGGAAUUACUGGGCGUAAAGCGCGCGUAGGCGGUUUUUUAAGUCAGAGGUGAAAGCCCGGGGCUCAACCCCGGAAUUGCCUUUGAAACUGGAAAACUAGAAUCUUGGAGAGGUCAGUGGAAUUCCGAGUGUAGAGGUGAAAUUCGUAGAUAUUCGGAAGAACACCAGUGGCGAAGGCGACUGACUGGACAAGUAUUGACGCU
rnacentral:rRNA from 1 species